GACGAACGCUGGCGGCGUGCUUAACACAUGCAAGUCGAACGGAAAGGCCCUGCUUGCGUGGUACUCUCGAGUCGAACGGGUGAGUGACACAUGUGUGAUCUGCCCUGCACUUCUGGAUAAGCCUGGGAAACUGUGUCUAUUACCGGAUAGAGGCCAUCUUGAGGGUGGUGGGUGGUAGGUUUUUUCGGUCGAGGAUGAGCUCGCGGCCUAUCAGCUUGUUGGUGGGGUAAUGGCCUACCAAGGCGGCGACGGGUAGCCGGCCUGAGAGGGUGGACGGCCACAUUGGGACUGAGAUACGGCCCAGACUCCUACGGGAGGCAGCAGUGGGGAAUAUUGCACAAUGGGCGGAAGCCUGAUGCAGCGACGCCGCGUGGGGGAUGACGGCCUUCGGGUUGUAAACCCCUUUCGCUAGGGACGAAGCUUUUGUGACGGUACCGAGAUAAGAAGCACCGGCUAACUACGUG
rnacentral:rRNA from 1 species